rnacentral:lncRNA from 1 species
AAACACAAAGCAAAAUUCAGACAACCUAUUCCAGGAUGUCUUCGUCUAUCUCAAUUGGAAUGAUCUCCCCAUCAUCAAACUGGUCCUUCCUAGGAGGCGCUGGAGGGGCAAAAAGGCGUGGUGGGCCAGUUCCCUUCUUCUUGUUGCGAGGCCUCGCCUGAAAUGAUCAGACAGAUAAAUAAGUAAGGAUUGCAGCAUAAAAACGAGAGAGGUUAUGCUGGACUGGAGCACUCACAUUGCCAUAUGAAUGGUUGAACCUUUUGCCCCGUUUUGUUUUCUUGUCCCCUCUCCCACAGUAGACUAAGCAAGGGCAAAGAAAGUUUAAAAAUCUUCAGUCCACAGGGCCAUUAAUAUUGACCUACUCAGAAGCCAAAAAAGUUUGCACAACGGAUGGCCUUUUGCAGUCACAUAGAUAACUUUGACACCAGAAUUUCAGAACUCGAAUUAAAUUUCCGAUUUAUUCUAGUAUUUUCUUUGAAGUACAUGCAUCUUUGUAUGACAUCAUAAAGAGUUUUUACACAGGUCCAAGGCAAGUGGCAUCACCGCAGCAGACAGAUUACUAAAACUUUAAAAGACGGAGAUAAAAGAAAGUAAGCUAAAUCUAACUGACUUGUUUACCACCCAUUCCUUACACCACAUCAAGAAUUUUGUAUCUAUCAGUUAAUAGGUACUGCAUUUCUUUUUCUAAAGUGCACACACAUUUCAAGAUUCAACCAUUGUAACCUUUGGCAUGAACCUUGUAAAGUUUGGCCAACCAAUAGUCUAAUAACAUGUAAAUUUUGUAAUGCAAAUUUGAUAUAAUUAGAUUAGCAUUUGAAAGUUGUUUCCUAUGACUAUGAUUUUGUUGCUAACUUGCUAUGAACAAUAUGAUAUGAGAGAAGCCAGCAGUCCAAGAGUUUAGCAUCACGGACCCCAUUGGGUCAGACCACGAUUAUAUGUUGAAAUGGAGGGAGUGAAAUGUUUAGUUAACAGUACUGCUAGUAGUUUUAUUUCAUACAGAUACUCCACACUCCACAGUCCCUUAAAUUUCUCUUGUUGAACAAUUAUUAACCCAGCUGUACCGACGGUAUCACAAAUCCUACCUCCGCUGCGGAGCCCAUUCCAACUGAACUUCCUACUUGACCAACUAAGAGUUUAAAGGAAAUCUUCAUCCCCAAUUGAACUUGAGAAUUUCCCAAAUGUCAUACAAUAAUACCACCCAUUGCUCUUGAAAUGUGCACACAGGAAACUACCUCAAACUAAUAAGCAGUGAGGGGGAUAGCUGCUUGAUUUACCAUCAAGAACUGGAGUGACGGUGGCCGACGUGAGGGCGCCGACGGCGAGGGUAGCGCGGGCGCGGGGGAAGGCGGCGGAGGUUGUGAGCGCGUAUGAGGAGGUGGAGACAAAGGAGGAGACUGCGCCGUGGUGGUGGGAUGGGAGGGCGGUGGUCGCGGUGGACAUGGCCAUGCCCUGGAUGGCGAGCAGCGCCAUGGCACGAGAGGGAGCGAGCGCACAGGGAAGACGAGCGUGUUGGAAUGGUGGGUGGGAGGAUCAGGUUGGAUAAAGAU